rnacentral:rRNA from 1 species
ACGGCUACCUUGUUACGACUUAGCCCCAGUCACCAGUUUUACCCUAGGGCGCUCCUUGCGGUUACGCACUUCAGGUACCCCCGGCUCCCAUGGCUUGACGGGCGGUGUGUACAAGGCCCGGGAACGUAUUCACCGCGCCGUGGCUGAUGCGCGAUUACUAGCGAAUCCAGCUUCAUGAAGUCGGGUUGCAGACUUCAAUCCGAACUGAGAGAGGUUUUUGGGAUUGGCAUCCACUUGCGUGGUAGCAGCCCUCUGUACCCCCCAUUGUAACACGUGUGUAGCCCCGGACGUAAGGGCCGUGCUGAUUUGACGUCAUCCCCACCUUCCUCACAUCUUACGAUGGCAGUCCCGACAGAGUCCUCAGCAUAACCUGUUAGUAACUAUCGGCAAGGGUUGCGCUCGUUAUGGCACUUAAGCCGACACCUCACGGCACGAGCUGACGACAACCAUGCAGCACCUUCACAACCGCUAUUGCUAGCUAUGGCGUUUCCGCCAUAUUCGGUUGCAAUUUAAGCCCGGGUAAGGUUCCUCGCGUAUCAUCGAAUUAAACCACAUGUUCCUCCGCUUGUGCGGGCCCCCGUCAAUUCCUUUGAGUUUCACCGUUGCCGGCGUA